GCGGCGCUUUCUAGGCAUCAGCGCUGCGGCUGGAGGCACAGCUGGUCCUCUGCCUGCUGUCCACUGCCACCUUGGCCUGCUCUUGCCACCGUGCCGCUGCGAACUCUGUGCCGCCGCUCCCCUCACCCUGUCUUGGGACGGCCGGCGCUAAGAAUUCAUGCUGUAGCCUUGGAUGCAGCCAGGAGGUGACACCAAAUCCGAUCAGAAACUAUGCCACUGGUGAAGAGGUAUAUUGAGCCCUGCCUGGCCUAAUGAGGUUACUAGAGAAUUGGAAGAGGCUCAAAUCAGCAUCCUGUACAUGGUUAUCAAACCAUUGUGAAGUCUUAGCUUCCUGCCCAGUGGGUUCACAUGCAAGCCAGAUGAAGCAUCACUGCCCUGGAUGUCUUUGUGAGGCGAUUGCGAAGUCUUGGCUGAAUUUUGAAGGAUAUCUUUGAAAAGUGUUUUAGAGAGUCUACCAGAUUUUCCAUAUGAGUGCACAUGCAGCAGAAGAGGGGGUUCUCUCAGUGAUUAAGGUUCAACUUUGGAAAUUCAGGCUCCUCUGUCUUCAGGUCUUCAGCCUCCAUUUGACUUUCCACCUUGCAUCCACUGAGGAUUGCUGAAUUGUCAGGAAAGAAAACGGCUGUGCACAGAGGGAGAAUUGAUCACUGUCUGUUCUUCAAAGACAUUUCUGUGGCAGUGGUUGGGGCUACUAGUGCUCACUGCCCUGACAGAGACCUGCUUCGACAGGAGUUUAACCACCUGCCUGGGAAAGUCAGCAGGCUUAUACAAUAAAUAAAUCCUCAUAAAAUUCUCAGCAAAGCAGAUGGGGAUCAUUAUUUAACCCAGCUGUGUUAUGGGAUCAUCUUUGGACUUCAUGGUGUCACUGGAAAGCUUACAUGUCCUAGUGGAUGAAAAUAUUUCAAUGGAGACCUUUAGAAAGAACAUGUCAAGUUCUCACUACAAAUACCAUUGGAGUUACAACUGGAAUGGCAUUGAAUUAUAGAGUAAUUUUUGGAGAGCUAUCAUCUUUAUAAUUUUCUCAUACAUGAAUGUGGAGGACCUGGUAGAAGACUUCAUGAAGGAGAAGAAAAGGAAAAAAAAUCUGAGGAUGACUACAGCCUCUCUUCAUCUCAGCUUUGCAAAACAUGACUCAACAGAGAGAUUACUCUCUUGAAGACUGUCCAGGCCACAGCCACUGGAGACACUGUAGCCAUGGCCAGCAACCGGACCCAAGCCCCAGGAUUUACCCCUGAUGUCUCAAAUGAUUAUGAAACACCAGUAGGAGGGCUUGUAUCUCUUUCUAACUUGGUCAUCAGAGAUUAGGAUUUGCAUACAUAUGGAUGAAUGGGCCAGAGACAGUGGACAGAAUGGCUUCAGGCAACACCAAACACCAGAUAGGACAUAAGGAAACAUUACAAUGAAAGGUUUUCAUCUGCAAUGAGUCCAGUACCUGAAGGAGCAAGACAACAACAAGCAUCUGAAGGGACAACAGUGUGGCCUUCUGAAUGAAGAUAGCAACCAAAAAGAUCAUAGAAUUGGCUGCAUUAGGAUGGGCUUGUGUUUUUCAAAAUUAAAAAAUGUUUUUUGAUGAUAAAAAUAGGUGGUCAUUGUUAAAAAAAAUAAAGUGAAAGGUAUAAAUUAAAAUGUAAAGAAUACCUAUAGUCUUAUAAGCCAGAAAAUAACUCUUAACAUUUGCAUGUAUUUCCUUUUAUUCUUUAAAAAAAGUAUAUAUAACACAGUUUAAAAAUAAAAUUGACAUUGUAUAUGUUAUUCCCCAACUCUUCUCAUUUGAAAAUAAGCAUUCUUCUAUAUCAUUAGCAUUAUUUAAAAAUACAGUAUUGUCACAUAAUAUUUCAUAUGGACCUAACAAAAUUCAUUUACAGUAAGGCCCCUACAUACGAACCUUUGAGUUACGAACUUUCAAAGAUGGGAAUGUGCAUUCACAUGUCCAGUCAUGUAAAUUAGUUCAUGUGUGUGGCAUACAUUGUCACAUGUGUGCAUCUUCUACAAGUGGUUGUGCUUCUGUGUACAGUACUGUAUAAAGUACAGUAGUACAAUAUCUUUAUUUCAAGCCCAGGAUGUGAAUGGGUGAAAUUAAAGCUUACCCUCUAUCUCCUAUUGCUGACGAUCCUUCCACUCUACCACCUCCCAUCUCCUCUCCCUCCUCCAGUCAGUAACUCUUCUUGCCUGUUCACUCGAUGCCAACCCCUGUAUGCCAGCUGUUGUACUGUACUACUGUACUUUUCAAGGUAUUGUACUGUAGAUUAAAAAUGAUUUAAAAUGUUUAUUUUUUGUGUUUGUUAUGUAUUAUUUGUGUGAAAAGUAUUAUAAACCUAUUACAGUUCAGUACUAUAUAGCUGAUUGUGUUAGUUGGGUACCUAGGCUAACUUUGUUGGACUUAAGAACAAAUUGGACUUAUGGAUAUACUCUUGGAAUGGAACUUGUUUGUAUGUAGGGGGCUUACUAUAGAUGAUCCCACGAUGCAUUUUGGAUAUUAACAAUUUUGCCUAUAACAUUAAAAUGUAAUGAACAUCAUUGUACAUUAACCUUUAUGUGCAUCUCUAUUUUUUUAGAAUAAAUUUCUAAAAUUGGGAUUACUGGGUUUGAUGAGAGCAUUAUUAGGGCACCUGAAAGAUGUUGUUGAAUUGUCCUCAAUAUAGUUGUACAAAUUACAUUCCCAUCAGUGGUGCAUAAAUGUGCAUCAAAAUACACCCUUUCCUUUUAUAAAUCUCAUCAUUUGAUAGGGAAAAAUAUCCAUUUGUUUGAGAUUUUUAUUUCUAAUUUAUCUACACUAAAAUUCACUCUUAUAGUGUAUAGUUCUAUACUUUUGACAAGUAUAGAGUCAUGUAUCCUUCCAUUCCAGUACCAUACAGAACGGUUUUAGCAUUAAUAAUUUCUCUUGGUUGCUCUUAUUGUUAUGAACCCUUUUCUGCAUCCUCAAUCCCUGAAAACCACUUACUCUCCAUCCCUAUGGCUUUGCCUUUUCCAGAAGAUCAUUUGAAUAGAGUCAUGCAAUAUAUAGACCUUUGGAUCUGGCUUCUUUCACUUAGUAAAAUGCAUUUAAGUAUUAGCUAUAUUGUUAUUAUGUAAAUCAAUAUUCAUUAUUUUUAUUGUUGUACUUCACUGAAUGUACCAGUUUUUAAUCCAUUCACUGAGGGACAUGAGAGAUGUUUCCAGUUUAGGCCAUUACAAAUAAAGUUGCUAUAAACUCUCAGGUAUCAGUUUUG